AACGAACGCUGGCGGCGUGGAUAAGACAUGCAAGUCGAACGAGAGUUUGUUUAUAGCAAUAUGAGCGAACUUUAGUGCGAAAGGGUGCGUAACACGUGGCUAUCUACCUCGAAGUGGGGGNUAUCUCCGAGAAAUCGGAGUUAAUACCGCAUGUGACCGCAAGGUCAAAGCUGGGGAUCGUAAGACCUGGCGCUUUGAGAUGAGGCUGCGGCCUAUCAGGUAGNGGCGGGGUAAUGGCCCACCAAGCCUAAGACGGGUAGCUGGUCUGAGAGGACGACCAGCCACACU
rnacentral:rRNA from 1 species